UUUAUACUGGUCUGUACUGGUUUAUACUGGUCCAUACUGGUUUAUACCGGUCUAUACUGGUCUGUACCGGUCCAUACUGGUUUAUACUGGUCUAUACUGGUUUAUACUGGUCUAUACUGGUUCAUUCACCCCACACCGGUCUAUACUGGUUUGUACUGGUUUAUUCACCCCAUACUGGUUUGUACUGGUCUAUACCGGUCUAUACCGGUCUAUACUGGUUAUACUGGUCCAUACUGGUUUGUACUGGUUCAUUCACCCCACACCGGUCUCCACUGCUGCAGGGUGACGUCAUCGACCGCAUCGAGCUCCACGUGCAGCGCUCGGGGGCGCGGCUGGAAAAGGGGCGGGGCCACCUGCGGGGGGCGGGGCUUCGCCAGCGGGCGGCCCGACGGAAGCGCCUGGCUCUCGCCGCCUGCGCCUCGGUCGCCAUCUUGGUCCUGGUCGCCAUCGUGGCCGCCUCAGUGGCGGCGGGAUAGCGCCGCGCCCUCCCAUUGGCUGAGAGCGCUGCCAAUCAACGGAAAUCCCACCAUCCGCCGCUUACGAUUGGGCGGCACAGAACCGGGGGGAAGCCCGCCCCGCUCGCUUGGGAUUGGGUGGUGGAGGUGUCAGUCAGGCCGCGCGCGGUUCUUAUUGGUUGGUGGUGAUGUCACCGCGCCGAGGAGCGGAGCUCCGCCCGCGCGCGGUUCCUAUUGGCUGGUGGUGACGUCACCGGCGAAUAAAGCACUUUUUACCCCAAA